AUUUGAGAAUGAAGCUCAGCUGAAGUUUGAACAGCAUACUGACAUAUACCAACAAGAAUGAAAAUAACUUAACAGCAAUUUUAUAAAUUCACAUCCCCCAGAGCACCACAGAGUAAAGAAAUACUGCAUAUGGGUAACAACUGGUUCUUAGUUACUAAAUCUGAAAGAUCAAAUACAGUUAAUUACAUAAGCUUCUCUUGAGUUUUUCUGGGGGAAUAUACCAGGAGACCAUAAUCAAGGUUUCUGGUAUUGCACUAAACACGAUGAAAAACAGGAGAGAACGGAGAGGGAUCAUGUUUUACCACAAUAUGCAAUUUAUGGGAGAGAUGAAGCGCUCAGGUGGAGAUGACUAGUGUCACGUGGUGUUUUAAGUGGAUACUCACAACGCUGGAACUCACAGCAAUAACAACAAGAGAUCCUCUAUAGACUGUUGAUGUAUAGCCAUGAGAAAAAAAAAAGAAAAAUUUUUGCUCUCAAUGAGCUUGCAUUUAAGCAUCUAUAAAAGGUGAGAUUAAUAUUUACUCAGUGAACUUUGAGUAAAGCAUUGGGUGCUUCAUUAUGUGGAGGAGUCUCAUCCAAUCAGUUGAAGGUGACUGAAUGGAACUAUAGAUCGACCUCACAUAAAUGAGAGGGAAUUCUGCAACAGAUCAUCUUUGCCUUUGAACUGCAGCAUGGACUCCCCUCUGGGUCUCCUGCCUGCCAGCCCACCCUGCAGAGUGCAUUUGCCAGCCUCCACAAUCAGGUAAUUUAUCCUGUGCAUUAACAAGAGGAAGUCUAGAGCCAUGGAAACCAAGUCAGGAAACUUCUCUCUUAUUAUUAGGUCCACUGCAAAUCUAGUUGAGACUGCAAAUCGAGGUUUUUCUCAGGGGAAGCCGAGCUCCAGACUAUUCAUUUGUCCUGAGGCAGCCACUUGAAACACAAUCAUUUUGUAUUUCUACGAUGUUUUGACCUUUUAUCCAAGUCAGCCCUAUAGAAUGGGCCAGGAGGUUGCUGCCACUGAAUAAGCCACUGUGAUUUUUAGCGUCAAGAAUUUUGCUGUUAACUAUGGCAGAAAAAUAGACAGAGGACAAUAAAAA
rnacentral:lncRNA from 1 species